rnacentral:misc_RNA from 1 species
AUUAAUGGAGUUCUGCAAUUAUUAAAAUUCAUUUGAAUAUGUUCCUUAAUGAAGGAAUAAUGUAAGAAGGAAUGAAGGAAGAAAACAAAGGAGUGUUAUUGAGAAAUUCAGUAAAAACGUUAUGUCAUCCGCUUGAAUGAUAUUACGGUUAUUAGGAUAUUGGGUGUUUUAAUGUUGGCAAUAAGUUAACUGUUUCAGAAUCUUUUACAGAUGAUUUAAAGCAUGGGAGUAGAUAAAUUAUUUUUUAUAUAUUAUUUACAUAAUAAAGCAAAUUUAAAAAUUUAAUAUUAUAAUAUAUCGGCGUUAUUAGACAUAUGAUUAGUAGUAUCUGAAAGCUGUUCAUAUUAAAGAUUUGCUACGCAGGACAAGACGAGCUUAAUCGCUUGUAAGAUAAUUGAUAGGUAUGCAUAUGAGGAUCAAGGAAGGUAUUACUAACACAAUUAUCUUAAUCCAGUACUUGUAAUGGAUUUAUUGUGCGAGAAGUGUAGAUGAGUGAAUUUGUUACGGUUUUAUUUAUCAACAAUACAAUGUCUCGGUACGAUCAUUUACAAUUCGACUUUUAUCUAGUACUUAAAUAAAUUUAUUUAUUUUAAUUUAUUGCACAACUAUAUAAAAUACGCUGGUAAACUUAAGCAGGCUUAUCUACCAGCCAAGUUUAAAACGUAGGUGCAAGGAAGUAGGUAGGAAAAGGAGUAAGAAAAAAAUAUCAGUUAACUUAGAGAUGAUACUAUAUUUUCUUAAUACAGUUUACUCUGUCUGAUUUCGGUUGGGUGAUGUAAGAUCAUGACAGCAACAGUUUUUUAAUAAUUGAACAAAUUUGAACCUUACUAGUAAUUUGAAUGCUCCCAUUAUUAUGUAAUUUAAAAGUUCUUAGUUACUUCUUCGGAUCGAGAACGGAAUCUAAUUACAACCUGAUUUAACCGUGUAUAAAAUACACAAUAAAUGAUGUUUAUUUUUAAACUUUGUUACAAAAUUCAUUGGAAUCUUAGUCCCUAAACUAGGAAAGCUCGUAACGUAGGGCUCAUUACUUUAGCAAAGUGUUUGAUCAUGUAAUAAUUCCGGGAGAUAUUCAAAUAUAUACGCAAUUACAUUAUUUCAUGAUAAGUGAAAUAUGAAUCACUCAUAAAGCUUAUUAUAUAUAUAUAUAUAUAUAUAUAUAUAUAUAUAUAGUUUUAUUAUUUUAUUAUUACAGUGCAAAUUAAUGAGUACAGUUUACACUUAAGCAAAAUACUUAUAGCUAAUGGAGUCAAUUUUUUAUUUUUUGAGUUUUUUUUAAAUUUAUUUUAUUAAAUAGAGUUCAUUUGAAAAGUUAAUUAUACCUUUUUAUAAUCAUUGUAUAUAUAUAAUAUUUUGUAUUACUUGAGUUUGUUAAUUUCUUUACAAGCAAGGCGAGUAAGUAAUAAAAAAAUUGCAGGAAUAGAACAAAAACAGCCCAAUUUUUUUAACAUAAAUAUAGUAAAUGCUACCAUUUUCAUCUUUAGUCUAAACGUAAUUGUUUUUAUAAUUUUUUUUUGUAGAAUUAAAAGGGAUCAAAAGAUCAAAUCUCAAUACUCGUAUGUAGCUCACGCGGACAAUAAUAAAAUAUGAAAUAUUAGGAGAUCCGAACUAGCGACGAACUUCACCCAUAUGCUUAAUGGGUGAAAAUUAUUUUAUACUUAUUUUAGAAUAUCAGAAUAAUGUCGCGAAAGGUGUAACUGAAAAAUUCCUGGUCAGGCCUAUAUUUAAUUUAAAAUUAAAAAAAAAUAUAUUUGAAAAGGGAAGGCUUUUAAAAACCCUAAUGUCGUAACGAUACCCCUUAAUAUUACUAAUGAGGGCUCAAACUUUUACAAUAACCUUUUUUUAUCAUCAUGAAUGAUAUUUUCACAGUAUAGUUUAGAAAAAAAAAUAGUAAUUUAUUUGGUCCACUCUAAUGUACACACAUAAUCUUUUUAAAUAUAUCUACGUAUAUCUAAGUAAAUGUGUAUGUGUGGUUUAGUGAGAAUUUAACGUGUUGUGAAUGACGACGCGUUGGCUCAACGGUUACAGCACUGGUUUAUGGCUGUUGUGCUGGCGGUUGCGGGUUCGAUCGCCGCAUAUGACAAACAUUUGUAUUUGCCAUACAGAUGUUUGCCGUGGUCUGGGUGUUUGUCCUUGUGGGUCUCCCCACCGUGCCUCGGAGAGCACGUUGAGCCGUCGGCCCAGCAGUUGGAUAUUACAAGCUGAAGUGUAACGUGAUGAGGUGUGACGUGACUGCUGCAAACAUUUUUAUGAAAAUAAUAAUUAUUGACUGAAGCGCAUGGAACAGAGCUUACUUUACAAUCUAUAUUUAGGAGGACGAUUACCAAUUAAGACGAAUACAAUUUCGAUACGUACCAUAGAUAUAUUUGCAAAUUUCCGAUCGAUUAGAAAAUUAUUACGACGUUGAAGAGAUAAUUUCUGCUAUUUAUUAUCAUAUUUUAAUGUUCCUGAGUUCGGUUUUUCGGCAUAUUUGCGUAUUCACGCUUUGGAACACUCAGUACCAUUAUUAUGCGUUAAUAAUUGCAUUUAGAAAUGUGUUUUAAAUGUCCAUUACAAACAAUCAGUGGCUCAAUUGACAUCAAUUUAAUAACAAUUGUUUGCUAUUCCUUCAUAUACCAAAAGGCGAGCAACAAUUGCUUUAUUUUCAGAUCUUAAUUGUUAAUUGAAAUUGUCAAACACUUCGAAUUAUUUGAUUUGUUGUUGCCCUAGGAACGUUUAACCGCACAGCGCUUCCACACUGUUGUGUAAGUGUCGAUCUUCUAAACAGUAUCGACUUUCAAGAAUCAUUUAUACGUACGUAGCUUGUCAAACAAAGCGUAGCAUAUCACGUCUUUAAUUAGAGCAAGUAUCUGAUAGUAUGUAAACAAUUAUGUCUUGAGAACUAUUUGUUUUGCGUAGGAUGAGCCUUAUUUUAAUUGCUUGCCUUGUAUACAUUUGUUAUUUUGACCUUUAACAACACUAAUUAUUGUAUUAGAGGGCAUCCAUUAUAUUACGUGAGCUAUUUUUCUAUCAGUUUAAACCCUUCCCCUAAGUGAGAUCUAGUAAGAUUUGCCUAGGACCCCUUACGUGGGAUGGACGCUAAAAAUGUUUUAAACAAUUUAUUUUUAUUAUUCGGGAAAAUAAACCGUCAAGGUAUAGUUAAGUUAAAUAAAAUUCAAAGCGAAAACAGAAACACAACACUUUUUUUUUAAUUUUUACUCAAUCCAUGGAGACUUGUGUACUUUUUCGUGUAAUAUUUUUUAUUGUUUUAAGUUGAGGUGAGGUUUUCGAUUAUCCCCCCUCACGGUUUUAAUGAGAUUUGGUAAGAUUUCAUUGGACCCCUCCUCCCCAUUCUGAACUCACGUAAUUAAUGGAUGUCCUUACCUAGUAAUCACUAUAUUAAGACUAAGUAUAGUAAGAUUGUGAUCAAGUUAAUUACAUAAUUUCUUUUCUCCAAGGACCGGCAAAACAAAAAUUGUUAUUAAGUUAUUACUAUUAAUUAUUUAUUAAAAGUGCCUCAGUAAAUAAUGUGUACAAUGUUAAUAUAUCCUUUAUAUAUACCUAUAUUAAUUGCUAUAAUUUUUUUGACAAUAGUGACUAAGUAGAUUUUACGUUUAUUUAAAUUAAUAAUAAUUUUUGUGUAAUAGAUAAUUAGAUAUAUCUUACGAUUUUGCAAGUCAUCCCAAUAAGUGCUUUGUGUGUGUUUACCCUUAUAUAGACUAGUUGAUACCUUAAGCGUAAUAUGAUCGCUCGUUCGGUUUAAUUAAUAAAGCAAUCGUGUUUAGAGGUGCUUAACAUGCAAGAAUAGGGAUAGAACGCUGUUUACCUAAUAAUGUUAUUAAUAUAAACGUACCACCGAAUAUGCAUUGUUUUUUUUUUGUAUUGGCAUACUGUUAUUACACAAAUAGAAACAUCUUUAUAUUAUCUUAUACAGUUGUUACGCAUAAAUUAUUAAAUUUUGUUGCACUUUGUUUAUUGUAAAUAUUUUUAAUUUUUUUACCUCCAGAAAUGCUUGCCAUCAUUGUUUUAGAUUGUUUCCUUAAAUAUUUUAAGUAAAAAUAAAUGUUAGAUUCUUUUAUAAGAUUUUAAAUUAACAUGGUUAUUUUUAUUACUAAAAUUAUACAAAAACGGCAUAUUUACCAUGUUUUUUAUUUUCAUUUGCGGAGCUCGAUAUUUCGACAUUAACUGCGAAUGUUCACGAGAAAAUAAAUAAAAUAAAAUGAAAAUACAAAACAUGUUAAAUAUGCCGUUUUUGAAUAGGUAAUUUUAUUAAAGGGUGUGCAUAUGAUAUUCUCGCUCUUUGUCUAAUUUAUAGCUAUAUAGGUUAUGGAACAAAUAACAUAAUAUUUUUGUCAUCGCUACGCUCGAUAGUUUUGGUUACGCGUUGUAAUGUUAAGUACAAGUACAUUUAUGUAAGUCACAAGAUUAGCUGCAAUAAAGUAAUUUGCUUGGUAAAAUC